UUUAUUUUCCAUUAUUAUUAUUAUUAUCCGUGAAGAGAAAGACUCUCUCUCUCUUACAUUAAACACUUGCCCCAAAAGAAGAGGAGAACUAGGGAAGCUUGGCUUUUUCGUUUUAUCUUUCUCGCUCGGCUUCACUCUACUGGUUGUCAUGAUUUGACCCUUUUGAAGCUUGAGCAAGAAGUGAGAGGAGCUUGAUUGUACAUGUCUAUGGUGUGUGUUAUUAUGAUGCCAAUGAGUUUUUUUGACCGUAGAAAGGGAUCGCAUAAAGCGACGGGAAAGCAACAGGAGGGGAAGGUGAUGUAUAUGUGUGGGCAAUAAAGGAAGAUUUUUGUUUGUUGCUUGUGAUUGUCAAUGACAGAGAGCUACAUUCUUUGUUUCGCUUUAUUUCACCCUUUUUGCAUAUUUCAUCUGCAACCUGGAUGUAAUGUGCAAUGAAGGGUGUUUGUCACUGCAGUGAUUUGGAGGGAUUCCUUUUGCCCUUUUUGUUAUUGUGUUUGUGUUGUUGGUGGGUUUAGGUUUUCCUUUGUCGGUGUUUCAAAAAAUGCCUAUGUUUCAGGCCUCUAAGAGGGAUGGCAUUGCUGGGUUUGAUAGCCAGGUUUUAGAUUUAGACACUGCAGUGAAAGAUGGAGUUCUGGGAGGUGUUGGUGGUGGGGUUAUUGGUGCUGGGGUUGGCGAGAAAUUGGACCUGAAGAAGAUGAUUGAGGAGCUUGAUUUAUCAGAAGUUCCUUCAGUGUUUGUAUGCCCGAUAUCCCUUGAGCCAAUGCAAGACCCUGUGACUCUUUGCACGGGCCAGACCUAUGAGAGGCCGAAUAUUCUCAAAUGGUUCAGUUUGCGGCAUUAUACUUGCCCUACCACAAUGCAAGAAUUGUGGGAUGUUUCAGUUACGCCAAAUAGAACCCUUUAUCAUUUUAUUUACUCUUGGUUUUCACAGAAGUAUUUGCUCAUGAAGAAGAGAGCUGAAGAUGUACAGGGAAGGGCAACUGAACUUAUUGAGUCACUAAAGAGAGUGAAGGGUCAAACUAGGGUUCAGGCACUGAAGGAGCUACACCAAGUUGUAGCAGCUCAUGCUUCUGCUAGGAAAUCUGUGGUAGAUGAAGGUGGGGUUGCAGUGCUUUCAUCUUUACUAGGUCCAUUUACAAGCCAUGCUGUUGGUUCUGAAGUAAUUGGGAUUCUUAUAAAUUUGACACUUGAUUCAGAGGCCAAGUCCAAUUUGAUGCAACCUGCAAAGAUUUCAUUAAUGGUGGAUAUAUUAAAUGAAGGUUCAAUCGAGACAAGUAUAAAUUGCACUAGAUUGAUUAAGAAAUUGAUGGAAGAGAAGGAUUUUAGGACGGAACUUAUCUCAAGUCAUAGUCUGUUGGUUGGACUGAUGAGGCUGGUGAAGGGUAAGAGGCAUGUCAAUGGUAUCUUGCCAGGGCUCAGCCUCCUCAGAUCAAUAUGCUUACAUAUGGAAGUAAGGAGCUUGAUUGUGUCCAUAGGAGCUGUUCCUCAGUUGGUCGAGCUGUUACCUUCCCUGGAUCCUGAUUGUUUGGAAUUGGCACUAUUUAUAUUGGAUGCAUUAUCUUCUCUACCUCAGGGACGGGUAGCAUUGAAGGACUCUCCAAACACAAUACUGAACAUGUCGCAGCUAUUGAUGGGAGUUCCGGAGAUUUGUACACAAUAUGCAUUGUCAAUUUUAUGUUCUGUAUGCAAACUUGCUCCUGAGGAGUGCCCAUCGCUUGCUGUGAAUGUGGGUCUUGCAGCGAAGCUACUGCUUGUGAUUCAGAGUGGUUGUAAUCCUGUCGUGAAGCAGCAAUCUGCAGAGCUUUUGAAGCUGUGUAGUCUGAAUUACACGGAUAGUAUCUUCAUUUCUAAAUGCAAACUUAUAAAGACAAUCCAGUGAGAGGAAGUUUUACAUGGUGAGAUAUGUGCAUCCCCCUGUGAUAUUUGCAGCAGCAGAAGUCAUGGCUAGCCAGUUUUGAGACAAUGAAUCAUCUCAAAUCAAUUGGCAUAUGAAAUGGGGCUUGAGGUGCAAUGUGUACCUUCUUUUCUCCAAUAGUGGAAAGAGUUGAGGGAGGACAUGACUUAUCCUAACUAGCCAUCUCUUGCCAAAUUCACUGUGAGAAUGAAAAGAAAGAAAAUUGUGAAGGGUUAUCAAUCAACUGUGGCCCUGAUUUGCUAUCAACUGCAGCUCCAAACUUCUGUGCAAGUUCACUGGUGCUUCCAGCUCUCCUGCAGAAACAUUAGUGGGGAAAAAUAAAAAGAGUAAAGUUCUCCUUGAAGAGACCUUAUUAAAGCAUUUGGCAUCUUUGAAUGAUGCCGUGGACAGGACACCUGAGACCCAUAAUCAUGGAAAAAGGUUAAUCUUAUACAAGAAGGCGAGGCUUUUGAAAGGGCUUCCAUGUGUAAUCUCUUUAGCUUUAUCAAUGAACUGUCUUAGUACUACACUAAUCAUGAAAACUUCAAUUAGUAUGAUUUGUUGGUUGGUGUGAAUGCAGAGAAGAUUCUCACAACAAAAACCAAUUGAAGGAACGCACGCC